ACUUUAUUUAAAGGUGCAGCAGGUAAGCUUUAUAAAACUAACUUUCUGCCAUAUUUGUUGAAACUGCCCCUAUGUUUCAGUAGAACUACAUCAAGCAGGUAAUAAAAAAAAAAAAUCAAACUUCUCUGGCACCACCUACAGACUGUACUGCAAUUUGCAAAAAUCCACCGCUCCGUGUUCAGAUGCUAGAAUCAGGGCCAGGUGGGGAGUGUGUUUAACUGCA